GACGAACGCUGGCGGCGUGCCUAACACAUGCAAGUCGAGCGGAGAUGUGGAGUAGUUUACUACGAAGCAUUUUAGCGGCGGACGGGUGAGUAACGCGUGGGCAACCUGCCUUUUACUGGGGGAUAACACAGGGAAACUUGUGCUAAUACCGCAUAACAUCACGAGAGGACAUCCUCUUGUGAUCAAAGGAGUAAUCCGGUAGAAGAUGGGCCCGCGUCCGAUUAGCUAGUUGGUGGUGUAACGGACCACCAAGGCGACGAUCGGUAGCCGAACUGAGAGGUUGAUCGGCCACAUUGGGACUGAGACACGGCCCAGACUCCUACGGGAGGCAG
rnacentral:rRNA from 1 species